CUAAAAGAUUAUUAUUAUUAACUGUGCUUAAUCUCCGGAAACGACAAUAGUAUAAAAUUCUCAAACACGGGAAAUUUAACGAUGUCGAAAUCGAAUUUCACGCGCGUAUUUUUUGCAGUAAAACGGAUACGAUUUUCUCCCGUUCCAUUUCCGACCGCAGUUUAUUUUUUUGUGAAAAUGUUCCCUGUACAAUAUAUUAUAUUACUG